CCUUGUACACACCGCCCGUCACACCAUGGGAGUGGGUUGCUCCAGAAGUAGCUAGUCUAACCUUCGGGGGGACGGUUACCACGGAGUGAUUCAUGACUGGGGUG
rnacentral:rRNA from 1 species